rnacentral:pre_miRNA from 1 species
CCAGUUUAACAUAGCCCACAGAUUAUGUACAUUUCUCUGGGUUAUGAUUAAGACUGGGC